rnacentral:rRNA from 1 species
CACGUAGGAGGCGAGCGUUGUCCGGAAUCAUUGGGCGUAAAGAGCGCGCAGGCGGCUUGGCAAGUCGGGUGUGAAAUCCCGGGGCUCAACCCCGUGACUGCAUCCGAUACUGUCAGGCUAGAGGUAGGUAGGGGAGAUCGGAAUUCCUGGUGUAGCGGUGAAAUGCGCAGAUAUCAGGAAGAACACCCGUGGCUAAGGCGGUUCUCUAGUACGGUACUGACGCUGAGACGCGAAAGCGUGGGGAGCGAACAGG